GGAAGGAAGGAAGGAAGGAAGGAAGGAAGGAAGGAAGGAAGGAAGGAUUGAGUAUUGAUUCUUUUAAGCUGCGGAAUAUUUUAGAGUUGUCAAAUUGAUAUAUUCCAUGUCACUUUUGUCUUUAUUCUUCUUUAUUUAUGUUUAUUUUAUGUUUUUUGUGGUUAUGUUUAUUAUGGUUCCCAUGAGUGUAAAACAAAUUCCCCUUUGGGGCAAUAAAGGUUUCAUUCA